rnacentral:rRNA from 1 species
CGCUGGCGGCGUGCCUAAUACAUGCAAGUCGAACGGCUUUUCUAUGGAAGCUUGCUUCCACUGAGAAGAUAGUGGCGAACGGGUGAGUAACACGUGGGGUAACCUGCCCAUAAGAGGGGGGAUAACAUCCGGAAACGGGUGCUAAUACCGCAUAGUUUUCUUGAUCGCAUGAUCGGGAAAGGAAAGACGGCCUUUGUGCUGUCGCUUAUGGAUGGACCCGCGGCGUAUUAGUUAGUUGGUGAGGUAACGGCUCACCAAGACGAUGAUACGUAGCCGACCUGAGAGGGUGAUCGGCCACAUUGGGACUGAGACACGGCCCAAACUCCUACGGGAGGCAGCAGUAGGGAAUCUUCCGCAAUGGACGAAAGUCUGACGGAGCAACGCCGCGUGAGUGAAAGAAGGUUUUCGGAUCGUAAAACUCUGUUGUCAGAGAAGAACAAGUUGGAGAGUAACUGCUCCAGCCUUGACGGUAUCUGACCAGAAAGCCACGGCUAACUACGUGCCAGCCGCCGC